rnacentral:rRNA from 1 species
AACGAACGCUGGCGGCAUGCCUAACACAUGCAAGUCGAACGAAGGCUUCGGCCUUAGUGGCGCACGGGUGCGUAACGCGUGGGAAUCUGCCCCUCGGUUCGGAAUAACAGUUAGAAAUGACUGCUAAUACCGGAUGAUGACUUCGGUCCAAAGAUUUAUCGCCGAGGGAUGAGCCCGCGUAAGAUUAGGUAGUUGGUGGGGUAAAGGCCUACCAAGCCGACGAUCUUUAGCUGGUCUGAGAGGAUGAUCAGCCACACUGGGACAGAGACACGGCCCAGACUCCUACGGGAGGCAGCAGUGGGGAAUAUUGGACAAUGGGCGAAAGCCUGAUCCAGCAAUGCCGCGUGAGUGAUGAAGGCCUUAGGGUUGUAAAGCUCUUUUACCAGGGAUGAUAAUGACAGUACCUGGAGAAUAAGCUCCGGCUAACUCCGUGCCAGCAGCCGCGGUAA